rnacentral:lncRNA from 1 species
AUGGGGUAGGAAAAGAUUGGAAUAAUUAAGAGGAGUUGGUGCAAUUCACAAGUGGUUGGGCAAAUCAUGUGGACCAUAUUUGUGCUACGUCGAUGAUGAAUAUAAUGGUGAAUAAUGUCAAAUGAUGGUCAUCCCUGUAGCUUUUAAAGAUUGGAAAUCAAGUGAGAACCAAUUGGAUUAAGCUAAAAUUUUCCAAUGAGGUUUGUUUUUGCUAUCAAGAGUACAUCCAUCCAUUUUGAUUAAUUGUAUGGCUAAAACACGUCUGGAUGGAUUGAGUGGAUAGCAUAUG